UACUCCAACCCAUGUGAACUUACCAUUGUUGCCUCGGCAGAACCUACCCGGUACCUACCCUGUAACGACCUACCCUGUAGCGAGUUAUCCGGGAACGGCCUACCCUGUAGCGCGCUGCCGGCGGACUACAAACUCUUGUUAUUUAUUGUAAUCUGAGCGUCUUAUUUUAAUAAGCCAAAACUUUCAACAACGGAUCUCUUGGUUCUGGCAUCGAUGAAGAACGCAGCGAAAUGCGAUACGUAAUGUGAAUUGCAGAAUUCAGUGAAUCAUCGAAUCUUUGAACGCACAUUGCGCCCAUUAGUAUUCUAGUGGGCAUGCCUGUUCGAGCGUCAUUUCAACCCUUAAGCCUAGCUUAAUAUUGGGAGCCUACUGUAUUGUAGCUCCCCAAAUCCAACGGCGGAUCUGUGGUAUCCUCUGAGCGUAGUAAUUUUUAUCUCGCUUUUGUUAGGUGCUGCAGCUCUCAGCCGCUAAACCCCCCAAUUUUUUAAUGGUUGACCUCGGAUCAGGUAGGAAUACCCGCUGAACUUAAGCAUAUCAAAG
rnacentral:rRNA from 1 species